GGGCUGAAGGGUGAGGCUGGUACUAAAGGAGGCAUGGGGCCUUAUGGCACACACGGACCAGUAGGACACACUUUAUUCAUGGUCAUAGACUCAUUGGUUUGUGUGUUCAGGGUGAGACAGGAGAGCCUGGUUUACCUGGAGAUACAGGAAUUAAAGGCGAGAAGGUGUGAAAUGUCAAUCUUGUCUUUACUUUUUGUCUUCUCACCUGUCUGUAACCAUUGAACCACAAAUUUUUCUGUAAGGCUUCAGAGGUUUCCCAGGUCGAAUAGGAAGUCCGGGACUGGAUGGAGAACAGGUAUUUUUGGGUUUUUUUUUGGAUAAAUUUCAUCUUGAAUUGGAAAUUGGAUCAUUUACUUAUUUUCAUAUCCUUCUGAACCUGUUUUACUGGAGUAGAAAUAGAGAGAGAGAGAGAGAGAGAGAGAGAGAGAACAGAACAGAAGCAUAUUGCAAUCAGAAGCUGUCAAGCUUCAAAACAAACUAAAACCAUAAAAAUUACUAACUGGAAAUAAAAACAAAACCUGCAAUUAAAACAAAAACUAAUAAAAAUGACAGAAGUGCAUAACAAAAAAUUUUUAAAAAAUUAUCUACAUUUAAAAAACAAACAAAUUCUAAAUAUCAUUAAAUAGUCUAUAAAUAAAUAAUAUUAAAAUAACAUUUAUCAUGUCACAACAAACAAUAGAAACCCAUACUUGCAUUAUCAAAUGUCAAAUUUUAAUAUAUGUACAUGAGGGGAUUUCAUUUUAGAUAACUGUUAUUCGAAAUAAUCUUUUCCCUGUCAAAUAUAUUCAUUUUAAUUCAUUUAAUUCAUCAAAAUCAUUUAUUUAACCCAUUCUUCUGCAGGGUACAGCCGGUUUCACAGGGUUUAAGGGAUCUCCUGGUGCACCAGGAGCUAAUGGGGCUCUGGGUCAGCCUGGUCCGGUUGGACCUAAAGGUGAAGUGGGACCAAAGGAAAGUAGAUACUCCUGAUGGUGAACACCAAUGAUCCAGAUGAUGGGAGUAUCCUAAGGGAAGAGGGAAGAACAGAUUCUGCCUCUCCGUUCUUGCUCACCCACCCCAAAGUGUGGGAUGAAGAGUCAGAGGACGAGACCACUACAGUUCAUCCUGCUGUUUCAGAGUCUGAGCCAACAUUAGCAUAUGGCAAUGAUACAAGAGCCACUACUGAGGGAGAUGGAGAGCAGGAAGAAAAGAGACGUGCACUCAAACGCCACUCAGGAGAAUGCCGUCCUUUUGUGUAUGAUGGCAGUGGAGGAAAUAGGAACCGCUUCAGCUCCAAAUGGGACUGUGAGAGUCAAUGUAUUCUGGGGAGGAGAGGUAAAGUGCCAAUCAGAAUGCAGGUUUCAGGUUCAGAGAUUCUGGAUACUGGGGAGAAAUGACUAUUUUUAACAGCUAAACUGCAAUUUAUCUGACUAAAAAUGCUAUUUUUAUCCAUCCUAUAUUUAUAUUAGUUUAUCGCAGCUUUAGAUUUAGAUUCUAUAUCAUAUUUACAUUUCACUUCUAUAGCACCACACAUUGUUGCACUUGUAGUGAUACAUGCUUACCUAUGAAUUUCUUACAAAUAUGCCAUGUUUUUAUUUAAAAAUGUUCUUAAUGUCACUGUUUUUAAACUAGUAUGUGAGACAAUUAAAACAAUAAAAUGAAUAUAUUUUUGAAUGAGCUAUAUAGC
ensembl:lncRNA